UUAUGCAUGCGGGUCUAUACAUGCAGUCGAGCGGACAGAAGGGAGCUUGCUCCCGGAUGUUAGCGGCGGACGGGUGAGUAACACGUGGGUAACCUGCCUGUAAGACUGGGAUAACUCCGGGAAACCGGAGCUAAUACCGGAUAGUUCCUUGAACCGCAUGGUUCAAGGAUGAAAGACGGUUUCGGCUGUCACUUACAGAUGGACCCGCGGCGCAUUAGCUAGUUGGUGGGGUAAUGGCUCACCAAGGCGACGAUGCGUAGCCGACCUGAGAGGGUGAUCGGCCACACUGGGACUGAGACACGGCCCAGACUCCUACGGGAGGCAGCAGUAGGGAAUCUUCCGCAAUGGACGAAAGUCUGACGGAGCAACGCCGCGUGAGUGAUGAAGGUUUUCGGAUCGUAAAGCUCUGUUGUUAGGGAAGAACAAGUGCGAGAGUAACUGCUCGCACCUUGACGGUACCUAACCAGAAAGCCACGGCUAACUACGUGCCAGCAGCCGCGGUAAUACGUAGGUGGCAAGCGUUGUCCGGAAUUAUUGGGCGUAAAGGGCUCGCAGGCGGUUUCUUAAGUCUGAUGUGAAAGCCCCCGGCUCAACCGGGGAGGGUCAUUGGAAACUGGGAAACUUGAGUGCAGAAGAGGAGAGUGGAAUUCCACGUGUAGCGGUGAAAUGCGUAGAGAUGUGGAGGAACACCAGUGGCGAAGGCGACUCUCUGGUCUGUAACUGACGCUGAGGAGCGAAAGCGUGGGGAGCGAACAGGAUUAGAUACCCUGGUAGUCCACGCCGUAAACGAUGAGUGCUAAGUGUUAGGGGGUUUCCGCCCCUUAGUGCUGCAGCUAACGCAUUAAGCACUCCGCCUGGGGAGUACGGUCGCAAGACUGAAACUCAAAGGAAUUGACGGGGGCCCGCACAAGCGGUGGAGCAUGUGGUUUAAUUCG
rnacentral:rRNA from 1 species